CCUACGGGUGGCAGCAGUGAUGAAUAUUGGUCAAUGGUCGGGAGACUGAACCAGCCAAGCCGCGUGAGGGAUGAAGGUACAGAGUAUCGUAAACCUCUUUUGUCAGGGAACAAAGGCGGGGACGUGUCCCCGGAUGAGUGUACCUGAAGAAAAAGCAUCGGCUAACUCCGUGCCAGCAGCCGCGGUAAUCCGGAGGAUGCGAGGGUUAGCCGGAUUUAUUGGGUUUAAAGGGUGCGCAGGCGGUCUGUUAAGUAAGCGGUAAAAGCCCGGGGCUCAACCCCGGCCCGCAGUUGAGACUGGCAGUCUCGAGUUGGAUAGAGGUAUGUGGAAUGCGCGGUGUAGCAGUGAAAUGCAUAGAGAUGGCGCAGAACUCCGAUGGCGAAGGCAGCAUGCCGGCUCCACACUGACGCUGAGGCACGAAAGCGUGGGUAUCGAACAGGAUUAGAUACCCGUGUAGUC
rnacentral:rRNA from 1 species